rnacentral:rRNA from 1 species
UACGGGGGGGGCAAGCGUUGCUCGGAAUUACUGGGCGUAAAGGGCUCGUAGGCGGCCAACUAAGUCGGAUGUGAAAUCCCCAGGCUUAACCUGGGAACUGCAUCCGAUACUGGAUGGCUUGAAUUCGGGAGAGGGAUGCAGAAUUCCAGGUGUAGCGGUGAAAUGCGUAGAUAUCUGGAGGAAUACCGGUGGCGAAGGCGGCAUCCUGGACCGACAUUGACGCUGAUGAGCGAAAGCUAGGGGAGCAAACGGG